rnacentral:rRNA from 1 species
UAGUCAUAUGCUUGUCUCAAAGAUUAAGCCAUGCAUGUCUAAGUAUAAACAAAUUCAUACUGUGAAACUGCGAAUGGCUCAUUAAAUCAGUUAUAGUUUAUUUGAUGGUAUCUUACUACAUGGAUAACUGUGGUAAUUCUAGAGCUAAUACAUGCUGAAAAGCCCCGACUUCUGGAAGGGGUGUAUUUAUUAGAUAAAAAACCAACGCUGGAAACAGCUCCCUUGGUGAUUCAUAAUAACUUCUCGAAUCGCAUGGCCUUGUGCCGGCGAUGCUUCAU